rnacentral:rRNA from 1 species
GAUGAACGCUGGCGGCGCGCCUAACACAUGCAAGUCGAACGGGAACACCCGUAGCAAUAUGGGGUUUAGUGGCGGACGGGUGAGUAACGCGUGAGGAACCUGCCUUUCGGAGGGGAAUAACACAUCGAAAGAUGUGCUAAUACCGCAUAAUGUCAUCGGGUGGCAUCGCCUGAUGACCAAAAGAGCAAUCUGCCGAAAGAUGGCCUCGCGUCCGAUUAGAUAGUUGGUGAGGUAACGGCCCACCAAGUCUGCGAUCGGUAGCCGGACUGAGAGGUUGAACGGCCACAUUGGGACUGAGACACGGCCCAGACUCCUACGGGAGGCAGCAGUGGGGGAUAUUAGUCAAUGGAGGAAACUCUGAACUAGCGACGCCGCGUGAGGGAAGAAGGUCUUCGGAUUGUAAACCUCUGUCUUCGGGGACGAUAAUGACGGUACCCGAGGAGGAAGCUCCGGCUAACUACGUG